CUAAGUGGCGGACGGGUGAGUAAUGUAUAGUUAAUCUGCCCUUUAGAGGGGGAUAACAGUUGGAAACGACUGCUAAUACCCCAUACUCCUUUUUAUCUUAAUGAUAAUUGGGAAACGUUUUUACGCUAAAGGAUGAGACUAUAUGGUAUCAGGUAGUUGGUAGGGUAAGAGCCUACCAAGCCAAUGACGCCUAGCUGGUCUGAGAGGAUGAUCAGCCACACUGGAACUGAGACACGGUCCAG
rnacentral:rRNA from 1 species